GACCACAAGUUAGCGUGUCUAGCC
rnacentral:siRNA from 1 species